CUAGGUAGAGUUGGGUGGAAGACAGUUGCUAGCGGUGAUCAUCAAAGUGAUCAGGGCAUUCAGAAAGCGAUCAACUAGGUAGAGUUGGGUGGAAGACAGUUGCUAGCGGUGAUCAUCAAAGUGAUCAGGGCAUUCAGAAAGCGAUCAACUAGGUAGAGUUGGGUGGAAGACAGUUGCUAGCGGUGAUCAUCAAAGUGAUCAGGGCAUUCAGAAAGCGAUCAACUAGGUAGAGUUGGGUGGAAGACAGUUGCUAGCGGUGAUCAUCAAAGUGAUCAGGGCAUUCAGAAAGCGAUCAACUAGGUAGAGUUGGGUGGAAGACAGUUGCUAGCGGUGAUCAUCAAAGUGAUCAGGGCAUUCAGAAAGCGAUCAACUAGGUAGAGUUGGGUGGAAGACAGUUGCUAGCGGUGAUCAUCAAAGUGAUCAGGGCAUUCAGAAAGCGAUCAACUAGGUAGACAGUUGGGUGGAAGACAGUUGCUAGCGGUGAUCAUCAAAGUGAUCAGGGCAUUCAGAAAGCGAUCAACUAGGUAGAGUUGGGUGGAAGACAGUUGCUAGCGGUGAUCAUCAAAGUGAUCAGGGCAUUCAGAAAGCGAUCAACUAGGUAGAGUUGGGUGGAAGACAGUUGCUAGCGGUGAUCAUCAAAGUGAUCAGGGCAUUCAGAAAGCGAUCAACUAGGUAGAGUUGGGUGGAAGACAGUUGCUAGCGGUGAUCAUCAAAGUGAUCAGGGCAUUCAGAAAGCGAUCAACUAGGUAGAGUUGGGUGGAAGACAGUUGCUAGCGGUGAUCAUCAAAGUGAUCAGGGCAUUCAGAAAGCGAUCAACUAGGUAGAGUUGGGUGGAAGACAGUUGCUAGCGGUGAUCAUCAAAGUGAUCAGGGCAUUCAGAAAGCGAUCAACUAGGUAGAGUUGGGUGGAAGACAGUUGCUAGCGGUGAUCAUCAAAGUGAUCAGGGCAUUCAGAAAGCGAUCAACUAGGUAGAGUUGGGUGGAAGACAGUUGCUAGCGGUGAUCAUCAAAGUGAUCAGGGCAUUCAGAAAGCGAUCAACUAGGUAGAGUUGGGUGGAAGACAGUUGCUAGCGGUGAUCAUCAAAGUGAUCAGGGCAUUCAGAAAGCGAUCAACUAGGUAGACAAUUGAUAUGUUGCUGUUCAAUUUUAUAUAUUAA